UUCAUCACGCAAGAACCUCGGAUUAAAUUGAAAACGCAAACACUUUCCCCUCACUAAAUCUCUGUCACCAUCCCUCUCGGCCUCUCACCAUCUUGCCCCCUCGUACUCUCUCUUCCUCCUCCGACACACCCUCACCGGCACACACCCCUCUCCGAUGCUCCACAGUCCCGUACCCAAGCCCACAAUUCGGUCCACCCAUCUCCGCUGCUAACAAGCUUAUUAGAAGUCGUAAGGCGGUGAUGAUUGCACCCUGUUCAAUUCCCUCGCCUCCUAUUUCAACCGCCACUGCUCUAGCAAACAUGGACCCCAGGCCGGUAGAUCUGGUUGGUCCCCAGGUCUUCCAGGCGGUCGCGUCAUCAGCCUAUUCAGUAGCGUUAUAUGUUAGUACUAGGCGUGGUCACUGCCGCCCCUGCACAACCAACAGGACAUCGGCAUCUACUACUGAUGCCUCGGGGUCACAACAAGCAAAGAAAAAUACCCAGGGACCUUAUUGCUAGUUGAAGACGGCAAAGGUCACCCGAGUGACCAAUGGACGUAUCACAAUCGGAUACGACAAUCGGCAUCAGGCUGCACCAAUGCCCGAGCAGCAUAGCGCAUUGGCCCACAACAUUGGUCACGUCGUUCGGACCUAUUUCCCUAUGCAAUGGAAGUCUUGGAAGGCCAUGCCAAACGAUGCGAGGAUAAAGGUGCGCACUUAUUUGUCGAUGAACUACAAUUUCAAUGACAUCAACGACAAUAUGUCGGCGUACGUCAACAGGCUCUUUGCUGAACAGUACAAGCAGUGGAAGAGCAACCUGCACCAAUAUUUUUAAACAUAUGAUCUGCAGGUCGUUCUUGAGGAGGGUUGCCCGAAGGAGUUUGAGGACUGGGAAGAUAAUUGGGUGUGGCUCUGUAUGUGAAGAAGGCGAAAGCCAAUAAGAUCAAUUGGGAAAAUGAGACUAUUCUCCACCAUUUGCAUUCGAGGCCAUUCUCAUAUAGGAUGGAGGCGCGGCGACAAGUAAUAAUAAAGCUUUUCAUAUUCAAUUUUUAAUAUGUCAGUAAUAUUAAAUUUUUUUUUCGUACAAACAUUUUUCUUAUCUUGUUCUAUUUAGGGGGUUCAAAAUUCCAGGAGAUCGAUGUCUUUGGAGACAUUUAUGUUUGACCCGGGAAUAAGUUGGCUGAGUCCCUUCAUGUAAAUAUUCUUCAAUUGUAAUUAAUAUCUUACGCAUUCAAGUAUCAUGGUUAUUAUUUGAAUGUUAUUAUUAAUAUUUCAUGUUAUAUUACAUGGGCAACGAUGAUGGAGAAGAGGCAGUUGGUUCUUUAGGAGUCCGUCUCCCAGCUUCCUCUCGAGACUCCGUUCAAGUAUGUGGAUCCCCCCGAGGAUGCGAGGUUUUAGAUCCUUACAGACACCUUAGAUCAAACUCUCGGGCGAAGGCCAGGAAUGUAUUGUAGGGGGAUGGGGAAUGCCUGGCGGCGAGAACCUAGAGCCUCUUCAUCCUCGUAGUUGAAUGAUGAGGUGACAACUUUGACAGCUGAGGUGGCCGACCUUAAGACUAAGCUCACCUCGUAUAAGAGUCAGAUGUCACUGAUUGUAUAGGCCUUCAGUCAGUCCGGCAUUUGUCUCCCCAAUAUCCGUCCCCCAUUGAGGUUCGAGCCCCUUCAACCCGAGCAUGCCCAGAACUCCGCCCCUUCAACCUCUGAGCCUGUCGUCAACCUCGAGCCCUUCUUGCCCCAAUCUUUCCACCCACAUGCGAAUGACGACCCCGUAGAUUAUUCCACCUUUUUUUCUUAGUUGUUUAGUCCCUUACUUUUAAAACUUUUUCCUUGUACAUACAUUUUAUUUUUAUUUUAAAUAAAUUAUUUUUCUCUUCA